rnacentral:tRNA from 1 species
UGGGGGGUCGUCCAAUGGCAGGACAUCAGGUUUUGGUCCUGAGAAUCGGGGUUCGAAUCCCUGCCCCCCAGCUA